GACGAACGCUGGCGGCGUGCCUAAUACAUGCAAGUCGAACGCAGUGGGGACGGGUGAGUAACACGUGGGUAACAUCCCAACAGCGGGGAUAACACUUGGAAACAGGUGCUAAACCGAUACUGAUGGAUGGACCCGCGGGUCAUUAGCUAGGUGGUUAGGUAACGGCUCACCAAGGCCACGAUGCAUAGCCGACCUGAGAGGAUGAUCUGCCCCACUGGGCCUGAGACACGGCCCAGACUCCUACGGGAGGCAGCAGUAGGGAAUAUUGGGCAAUGGACGAAAGUCUGACCGAGCAACGCCGCGUGAGUGAAGAAGGUUUUCGGAUCGUAAAACUCUGUUGGUAGAGAAGCGGUAUCUAACCAGAAAGCCACGGCUAACUACGUGCCAGCAGCCGCGGUAAUAC
rnacentral:rRNA from 1 species